UGCAGUCACAGCCUCGACUCAGUCCACACCCUUUAACUUGAAGAGGAGUUAGGAGGUGGAGCAAGCAAGCAAUUGCUCGGAGCACAGUUUGAGCUUGGACUUGAGCUCUGAGGCUUUAGUGAGCAGCAUGUAUGAACGCCGUGACCUGUGUUGACUUUAAGCUGCAUUCUCUGACUUUUGGAUCUCCUCAGUUUUAGCGUGUGGAGGCAUCAAGGUCUCUUUUUUAUUAAAAAAAAAAAAGAAAUCCAUUCAAAGAUCUGUCAGACGGAGGAAAAAACAUGAUUUGGUGUUUUCUAGUGUGGAGACUCAGAUAAGGACUGGGAAUGAAGAGUGAUGGCUUGGAGAAAGGGACUGCAGGCAGGAGGCUGGGAGACGAAGCUUAACUCAUACAGGAAGGAAGUACAGGAAAUGUCCUAUCGGGAAAACAAGUAGCAAACGUAAUUGUGAACUCUAAGCUAAUUUACUGUUUGGGUGGUCAUGAAAGCAAAGCACUGAUUGUGUGUCUGUGCAUGUGUGUAUUUGCUAUUAACAUUAUUCUUGUUGUGAAUAUUGACAUUAUGAGUGGUUUUGUGUUUCCCAAAGCUGCAAAGACUUAAGAUCACAACACUGGAAAGCAUUGAGCAAUACAGAAAAAUAAACAUUUUUGUAGUGUUUACAAAGUAUUUUUACAACUACAGUAUAUUUGCUUUUUACACCACAAAAAGCUUUUAUAGUUUGACAAAUAAGGCCUGCUGUGUUGUCCUAGUUAGCCAGAGAUGAGACUGAUAAACCUACUUUUGACUUUCGAUAUAAGAAUCUCAAAGUAUUUGUUUAGUGUGUUUAUAUAAAAUUUUAAUUUCACUGUAUUUAAGUUAUUGCCAUCAUACCCAGUCCACUUUAAGUGUUAAUGCAAUCCUACUUUUUUCAGUAUCCUAUGUAAAUCUACAGUCACCAGCAAAAUUAUCCAGAGGACUGAGUGAUUAGAAGAAUUCAGUUUCAAAAUCCAUUGAAGCAGAAAUCCACUACAGUUUUUUGAUGAGUGAUUACAAAUUACGAAGUAGAAAUUGUUCAGUUUUCUUUGAAUCUGCAAGCUUAGUUUUCACCAGAUUAAAUUUUGUUGUCAAUAUCACAAGCAAGCCAAACACAAACCCAACAAUUAGGACCAGAAGUGCCGCUGUCAGCAGCUGCUGCCUGAGUUUGAGUCAACUUCGGCUGAAAUAAAAGUCAGGAACAUGACUCAGCUUCCAACAAAUAAGCAAUAACUCAAUUACCCGAUAAUGUUAAAUAUUACAAAAUUUCUGGAAACUGCAUUUCCUAACCAUUGUGUCUCAUCUGGUAGCUCCUAACUGGCAACUUGUAACCAGCUCUGCAGUGAUAAAAAAAAAAAUCAUAACUUUAUAGCAACGAGAUCCUUGCUGCCAUGUUUGAGACAUUUUUAACUUUUAGACCUUAAAUAAAUUUGCAAUUUGCUCGCAAUUAACUGACUACAUGGAGUAACUGAAAUAAUCACGAUUAAAACAUUUAAUCACUUAAUAGCACCAAAUUAGUUUUUUGUUGUUCCUUAAUUCAUUUUUCAAUUUUCAUUAUUGUUGUUUUAUUCUUAUUGUUUAUGUAAUAACAUCUUAUUGUUUCAUCUGUGUUUUUGUAAUACUGUGAAGUCCUUUUUCGGUUACAUUUUUUAAGGAACUCAACAAGACCCAUUUAGUAUUUGUAUUAAUAUUCAAGGUUGUGCAAAUCAACAAUUUUUAUGAACAAUAUGCAAUUUUGGGGAGCGGGCAAAUAGUGUUUUUAUUUUCAGUGUCUCUUUAAUGAAUCUUAUCUCCAUAAUAUUUAAUGUCCAUCCUUCUUGUGGCAGUGUAGCGGCUGUUAACUUUCUGUGUUUUAACAGCAGGGGGUUCGGGUGCCUGGGCUCAACCUCCUGUGCCUACUGAGCUGAUAACAGUUUGAUAUUAAACAAGUACUGGCUCAGUUCAGCAGGAACCGGAGUUAGGCCCUCUAAAGACAGCAACUCAACCACAAUCAACUUCUUCAAACAAGAAACCACACUAUCUGCAACAAUAAUUUGCAUGUGCCAUUAAUGCUUAUUAAGUACUGAUAGCAAUAUAGCUGGCUUUUCUCCAACUGAAGUCAACUUUAUUUUCUUUGCUGCUCUAAAAGAAUCUGUUUGAUUUUUCCCACAAAACCUCAUCAAGGCCAUUCUCCAAGAAACAGCCAGAGCAGUGCAAUACUCCGUUAAUCAGAGCAGAGGAAGCACAUAAAUGUACCCAGACAUCCUCUCCAUACCUUAAGCUCACACACUAAAGCCUGUGAUGGAGGAAAUCUGCUUCUGUUGGUUUGCUAUUUCUAAAACAUCACAGCAGCAGAGUUUUUCCAGCUGUAUUUGCCACAUUGUACAACGCGAAGGCUCCAGGAAAACUGCUUUGGGUGUUCCUUUUGACAUGUAAUGCAUUUCAGUAAUUGCAUGCCAUGUUUUAUUCAGUUUCCCUCUCUGCUAUUAGCAGUAUGCUUUAAGCUGAAUACAAAAUGAUGAUUGCAAUGUAAGAAAUGUAAACAGACAGCUGGAGUUACAUAAAGUUAAUUUCACUGCCUUUAUUAGUAAUUGCUGCAUAUUGCAGGUUAAGAUUAACAUCAUUAAGAGAUGAUCACUUUAAGUUGUGACCACAUUUUCAGAAACCUGUGAGUUUUGCUCAUUUCUGUCAAAAUGUCAACUGAAUUCCUGAAGCACAGAUAAAAAAAAAAGUUAAACAAAUUUAAGGAAAAAAUAAAAGAAAAUAUUAACUGUAAGAAUAAAAAGCUAUGG